rnacentral:lncRNA from 7 species
GAUUUUACAGAUCUGUCUGGGUGUCUUCUUCACUGAGGACUUUGCUGUACUUUGGUCUAGAAAGUGUGAAGAGAAACUGAGUUGCCAGCAAUUGUAUCUGGAAGCAGUGGAAGAGUUGCAGGAGAACAAAUGUUCCUAUCUCCUGCUCUUUAAUAAGAAGGCUUAUGCAGAUGUGGAAAACCAUCCAAGGGAAGGAUGGAACUGAAGGGGAAGACAUUUCAUAGACACAUUGAUCAUUGGUUCCUGAAAUCAAGACCUUUCUGCGGCGCAGUAAACUGGAAAAAAAACUUGCAUCUGAAGAAUGCAUAGAAAACCUCCUGCUGUGUUCAUUAAGUCAUUGUUUGCUUCCAAGGCUUUGUCUGGGAACCUCAACUUUGUCACCAGUGGGCAUUGGUUUACCUUGUGAAAUGAAUAUGGGCAUUUAAAGCCGCUAUCACAGAGAUGAACUGGAUGGCUCUGAUGGCAGCAUAUGAAAGUCAAAGUGAUGCAUGGGCACAGCUUAAUUCUUUGUUCGCAAUGGAGAAUUUCUCCCUAGAAGCAGAGCAGUCUUUCUCUUAAGACUGGAGCUAUUUCUGUUUAAUGAUUUGGGAGCAGAAGCAAGACUUAUACAUUACCUCCUUGCUACUUACUCAGCACACCUCAGGGGGAGUGUAUUCUCACAAGCAUGUGUCAUUUAGGUAAAAUAGGGUUAUUGUAGAGUUCUGACAGAAUUCUUAGAAUCAUGUUUAAAAAUAAGGAAAUGUGCUAUCAUGUUCCCUUCUUCAAACCCUAUUAGUGGUUUGGGUAUAACCACAAUCAGUAGUAUAAGAUAAAGUAAAAUCUCCACGUGUUGUUUGUGAUGGUGCUUUGUGCGCGUAAUAAUGUGCAAAAAGCUAUUUUUACGUUUCAGCUCAGGCACCUUGUAUUAUUCACCAUUAUUUAAAAUAAUGAAGUCUUGCUUAUUGCUAGUAACAGAAAUCUGAGGUAAUUUUGCCAGAGUGAUGUUGAACAGCUCAUUUUUUUCAGAUUUACUCAUUUGAAUUUAAUGUAGUUAUUUUGUAAAUUAUUAAGAAGCCUGAGAUAUGCAAAGUUGUUUUUAAAACAGUGUUCAUUAAUAGACUUGCUUUCUCUUUGACUUAAUGCAACUAAUUAAAUUGUUAUUAGAUUGCUAAUGUGGAAGACAAAACUAUCCUGGAGUGCAGAAGUGCUUGAGGAGAUCUUAGACAAGCCAUGCAUACAAAGUUAAGGAUACCUUGGGGAUUUCAGUGCUUUGAGGGAUGUGGCUGUUGUGCUGUCGUGUCUUGAAAUGAAGCAACACCAGCAAAGCCAAAAUUACUAAGAGCUUUAGUCCUUACUUAAGGCCAGUAGGGAUAGGAUAAUCAAAUGUGGAUGUUUCCUGGUUUGGGACUUUUUCUCUGGGUAUUCAGUAGUCACCAGGAUCUGAAUUUGAGCAGCUGAGUUGGGAUUACAUUGACUGUGAGCAUUUAUUUAUACAGGGAAAUAAUUAUCUCUCUUUCUGCCCUCAUUGCACAGAGCUCUGAGGAAAUCAUGUGCCACUGCCUCCUCUGUUGAGAUGGUAGGAUUUUGUCCAGCUACUUCUAUCAGCAUCAGGCUGUCUUGCUGAAACUGUGCCAGGACAUUAGGAAGUGGCUGCUGAGACUGUGCUCCUCUGUAAAUCCUGCUCCUCUGCUGUCUUGAGAGGCACGAGGGAGUACUGAGACCACCUUUUCAUGGGCUUCUUCACAGCUCUAGCGAACACCAAGGAGCUCUCAUGGCACAAAGACUACUGGGGUGUUGUAGUGCUGCCUUGGCUGGGUAUCUCCCGUCUCCUGCUACAUUUUCCUUCCACAUAAGCAAUAAUAAUGGUAAUAAUUAUAAAUAUCCUACUGUUGCUCCUUCAAACAACACCACCACAAACCCCAAAACAACAUAAUAGUACUCUUUUCCUCUCUACGUCUUGGAAGUGAUCCUUUGGCAAUGACCAGCUAAUUGAGAGAUUGACAUGGUGGCAGCAAUAAUCUGUUUUGUCAUGUCUAAAGAAUAAACCUCCAGUGACAGCAAGCUGUGAGUUCCUGCAUAUACCUUGAGUGGAGGUGCGCUCCUCUUGGGGAGAAGAGUUGAAUGGUGGUGAAGUGAACAAAGCCAUCACAAAAUGGAAAUGAGGAAAACUUGAUUUUCUUCUGUGUGGAGGAGAGGUAGCUAGCUGCUUUGGUGCAGAAGUCAGACUGUCUGUUACAGAUGUUAAUUUGUUCUGAAAUGCACCACAGCC